GAUGAACGCUGACAGCAUGCUUAACACAUGCAAGUCAACUUGAAUUUGGGUUUUUAACUUCGGUUUGGGUGGCGGACGGGUGAGUAACGCGUAAAGAACUUGCCUCACAGCUAGGGACAACAUUUGGAAACGAAUGCUAAUACCUAAUAUUAUGAUAAUAGGGCAUCCUAUAAUUAUGAAAGCUAUAAGCGCUGUGAGAGAGCUUUGCGUCCCAUUAGCUAGUUGGAGAGGUAACGGCUCACCAAGGCGAUGAUGGGUAGCCGGCCUGAGAGGGUGAUCGGCCACAAGGGGACUGAGACACGGCCCUUACUCCUACGGGAGGCAGCAGUGGGGAAUAUUGGACAAUGGACCGAGAGUCUGAUCCAGCAAUUCUGUGUGCACGAUGAAGUUUUUCGGAAUGUAAAGUGCUUUCAGUUGGGAAGAAACAAAUGACGGUACCAACAGAAGAAGUGACGGCUAAAUACGUG
rnacentral:rRNA from 1 species